rnacentral:rRNA from 1 species
AUUGAACGCUGGCGGCGGGCUUAACACAUGCAAGUCGAGCGGGGGAAGGUAGCUUGCUACUGGACCUAGCGGCGGACGGGUGAGUAAUGCUUAGGAAUCUGCCUAUUAGUGGGGGACAACAUCUCGAAAGGGAUGCUAAUACCGCAUACGUCCUACGGGAGAAAGCAGGGGAUCUUCGGACCUUGCGCUAAUAGAUGAGCCUAAGUCGGAUUAGCUAGUUGGUGGGGUAAAGGCCUACCAAGGCGACGAUCUGUAGCGGGUCUGAGAGGAUGAUCCGCCACACUGGGACUGAGACACGGCCCAGACUCCUACGGGAGGCAGCAGUGGGGAAUAUUGGACAAUGGGGGGAACCCUGAUCCAGCCAUGCCGCGUGUGUGAAGAAGGCCUUAUGGUUGUAAAGCACUUUAAGCGAGGAGGAGGCUACUUUAGUUAAUACCUAGAGAUAGUGGACGUUACUCGCAGAAUAAGCACCGGCUAACUCUGUGCCAGCAGCCGCGGUAAUACAGAGGGUGCGAGCGUUAAUCGGAUUUACUGGGCGUAAAGCGUGCGUAGGCGGCUUAUUAAGUCGGAUGUGAAAUCCCCGAG